rnacentral:lncRNA from 10 species
GAAGAAAGAGGGCUGAACAGCUGAGUGCGGACGCAGGCGCCGUCCGCGCAGUGCGUUCCACCGGGUCCAGGUCCUUCCAGAUUCCUCUCCACCCCGCCCUCGGAAUCCGCGGCCUCAACUUCCGCGGUGGGACUCCGGAGCAGCGUGCGCCGCGCUCGCCUGAGUUCUCGCCGAAGGCCAGGGCGGCUCUGCGGCCUGGCGCCGGUUAGUUAGUGUGGUGCAAAAGCCGGAAGGAGACACAUUUGGUCCUGGCCUCCCGGCAGUCACCGUGCCAAGGACGAAUGGACUAUCGCUUGAUUUGGAGUACACUUCCUCCUCUUUAAAGAUUACAGAUGAGGGGGAUCUCGCGUUCUGGGGUGCCCUAAAGCCCUCUUUUGGCAGGGCGCAGUGGCUCACGCCUGUAAUCCCUACACUUUGGGAAGCCGAGGAGGGAGGAUUGCUUGAGCCCAGGAAUUCAAGACAAGCCUGGGCAACAUAGGGAGCCUACCUCUCUCUCUUAAAAAAAAAAAAAAAAAAAAUUAGCCGGCAUCGUGCCGGGCGCCUGUGGUGCUUGUGGUCCCAGCUACUCUGGAGGCUGAGGUGGGAGGAUCGCUUGAUCCCAGGAGGCGGAGUCUGCAGUGAACUGAGAUGAGCCACUGGACUUCAGCCUGGGCAACAGAGCAAGACACUGUCUCU